GGGGCAGUAGCUCAGUUGGUCAGAGCAGCCGACUCAUAAUCGGUUAGACGGAGGUUCGAGUCCUCCCUGCCCCA
rnacentral:tRNA from 2 species